GUAGACAAAAAUUGUUCUUCACAUUAAAAACUUAGUUAUCGUUUUGUUAAUAACAGACUAGCCUCUCUUUAGUCAUUUAGUUUUUUCACCCUUCAGUAAUAGUAAUAGGGAAAACAUCAAAAACAUAGCAGCAAAUAUUUUUUUUUUUUCCCGUCAAAGUUAUUUUUAAUUAAAAUUCAGGGGACUAAGCCCAACAAGGCUGGCCCAACACCAGAAACAAAUUACAAUACUAAGGCCCACAAAACGCUGGGCAAAAUUUAAAACACAAGACGGGCCUAAAGCCCACACCAAACGCCACAAACUCAACGGGCCGGACUUCCCCUUAUGACCCACUCGUCAAGGAGGCGGGACACGUGUUGUAAUCUCCUUCUCAGCACGCCACGCGUCAACCUAUACCUCGACAUGACCGUCGGCGAAGCGAGAAGCCCCAAACCCCACCACCGAAACCCUCGUUACGGCGGAGCUCAAAACCGGAGAGCCUCCACCGAAACCUCUUUUCUUCCGUUUACUGACCUUUCUACGGAGAGCCGCCUCGAUCUCUUCGAGCCCUCAUCCGCCUUGUGAAAGCCACGAACCACAGAACUCAUCGAUCCAACACUAUGUUCGAUCCAAAACCGAGAACACCACUUUACCCCACUAGAACCGGCGACGCAAGGCUAAGUACGCCUUCACCCCCCGGAGACAGGACCGACGAGGCUUGCUGAAGAAGCCAAACACCUCCCGGAGACUUGACCGGCGGCGACGGAGCUUUAGUAGCCUCCACCUCCCGGAGUAUAACUUCACCACACUUUACCCCUCCACGCGACUGCGCCUUCACUCCAGCAACCCAUCCACCGUAGAUGGCGGUUCACUCAUCGAGCUAGCGCCUCCGGAUGAGAGCUAAACCAGAACUCCGGCAAGGCGAAUCAAGGGGAGAGAGCCAAAAAACGGACUGCUUAAACGGACAAGGAAGGACAAGCGGUUCCGGUGACGGCACGCGCGCCGACGCGCCGACCGCUCACCGGAACCAGAUCUACUUUCUCUCUCUUCUCUCUCUUCUCUCUCUUUCAAAACAUCUAAAGGCUGACUACUUCCAAACAUAGCAGCAAAUAACAUUAACAAGAAAUGACCAUAUCAUAUUCAUAAGAAAGCGUACGAAGGAUUCAGAGAGAUUUAACACAUCGUAGAAUA
rnacentral:lncRNA from 1 species